AUGAAAGAACAAAGAAAACUGUUUCUAAGGGGCCUUUGUGAGAAGAGCGUCCUGCCCAGCUCAAUAACCUGCCUCCAGCAGCAAGCAGCGGUCGGUGCGAAGAGCUUUCCUUCACAAGAACUGGCUGCUCCAGCGUGUGUGAGAGACAUGCAGCACAGGUCUGACCAACCGCUCAGUGUUCAGGCAUGGAGAGAGGAUGACAUUUAUCAGGUACACUCACUGUUUGAUACUGGGGUUCACAGCUGUGGUUUGCUGCAAAUCCUUAUUUGCUUGUGAAUGUUUAGGGAGAAACUCUGUGCAAACUUCCAGCAUCUGUUCUUAGCUAAAAGGGUGUAGGUCUUGUAUUCAAAUAAGAAAACAAUUUUAGACAUUAUCAUAAUUUCAGCAUUAUUCAGAAGUUCACAUUUCUGAAGAAUUUGGCUAGUCAAUGUUCUGCACCUGCUGUUAUUUCCAGAAGGAAUAAAUUACUAUUGUGGAUGUAUAAAGCUGUCA
rnacentral:lncRNA from 1 species